GGGAGGAGCUCCCGGCCCCGCGCGCGCAGCCCCCUGUGAAGAAGCACCCGGCUGCCCACGACGUGUCCCUGUCCCUGAAACGAAGGAAAGCGCGGGAGACUCUCGUCAGCCACCCCGAGGCGGGGGAGAGCCGCGGCGCCGGCGCGAUCAUGUGCCGGGGUUCCUGCCCUGGGCUGAAGGCGCCGGUCACUUCGCCGUCGGGUCCAGCCAACUCUCCAGCUUCGGCUCUGCCCUCCCCGCAGUGGACGGUGUAUCACUAGGUCCUCAGGUUGCGUGACAGAAACCAAACGAGCCAGCUGACACAGCAAGAGCGUUUGUUACCAGGGCGUUCCCGGACCUCGUGGAACCCCCGGAGGAGGUAACCCCCGGCCUCUGCAGGAUCCAGGACUCCCGCAAGGGCACGUGCCACCCUCUGCCCUUCCUGCGGCUCCUCGCCCAGCAAGCCUUAGUUCUGCAUUCCACCGUCUCGAGAAGGGGCCAAAUGACCCAGCCAGUGUUCCUCUUGGGUUCCGGUACGGCCGACCUCGGCCCUGAACACCACACUUCAGAGGACCCUGCGUAUCACAAACCGCGAAAAAAUAGAACUCAUUCAAGAACUCGUGGGUGUCCUCAUCCCUGGGGUCCUGCUUGCUGUUGGUGGACGUGAGCCGUAAUCCCAAACCCUCGGGGCAGCUCUCCCCCGCGUCUUCAGCAGGGACCCCGAGCAGAAGGCCCCGCACCUGGAUUCCGGGAGGCUGUGUGGGUUGUGCUGCGUCGAGGCCUGAGGCACAGGCUGCCUUAGACAGCAGGGAGAUUCGAGCAGCUUUUGCACGUAGGAAGGACAAAGAAGAACUUGUCAAAUCUUCCUCCCAGAUACCAUAAGUAAAGCAGAUCCCGCUACAGGAAGUCUCGUUCCGCAGUAGCACAGAACAUCUGUUCUCCUGUUUCCCUUCUGUGACCAGCUGUGGGAGCAGGGGCACUCCUGAUGGAGUGUGGUAGUCGUAAUAGUUGCCAUGGCAGCUGAGAAACAUUUUGCUGUGGUGAUUUAGAAUGCUUCAGAAGAAAAAGAACUUUUGGGGAAAACUUACGUAUUAUGUUUUAUAAGGAAUAACUACAAGUCAAAAUCAUAAAAGUAGUAGAAAAUAUAAAAGCAAACUCAAAAUAGA